UUCCCAAUAAUUAGCACAGAGCCGCUUUUAUUUUUGCACCACUUCAAUGUUAAUUUAUUCUUCAUGUUAUAAAUGAGUGGAUUUUUGAUCACAUUAAAUUCACUUAUCUGUCACGUUGCUACGUUUUCUUCUUCAGAGCUACUCGAUGCUACUAUUUUUUUCAUUUUUUUUUUACAUCAGACAGGAACCCUGAGGUAUCCCAAGCAAAAUGACUAGCACAGCCCUUUCUGUGCGCUCUCGUUUGUUGCAUGCACCUGCAGCGGACCGUUGAGUGCCAGUCUACCAAAAGUUAUGGACGAAAGUUUACAGAACAGCUCGUCAUUCUAAUUCCAAAGCGAAGACGUAACCCUGUGGACGAGCCUACUGGCCGAGAAGACCCCCAGAAGCCUGUUAGCUCGCCGCCCAGCUGGUCGCUAGUGCCUCUUGUCUCGACACGGAGACCCGCACAAGGACCCCGAGGAAGGGCCGCGAUUAAUCAUCAAUCAAUUCUAUACAAUCAACACAAUUGCCAAAUAAAUCACUAAUUAACACAUCUCUUAACUGAGAAUACCCCAAAAAGUAGCGGGAACCUUACACGUUGAUUACUUGCUCAGUAAU